UCUCGUUGGUGACCAGCGGAGGGUCAUUACCGAGUUUACAACUCCCAAACCCCUGUGAACAUACCUAUACGUUGCCUCGGCGGAUCAGCCCGCGCCCGGUAAAACGGGACGGCCCGCCCGAGGACCCUAAACUCUGUUUUUAGUGGAACUUCUGAGUAAAACAAACAAAUAAAUCAAAACUUUCAACAACGGAUCUCUUGGUUCUGGCAUCGAUGAAGAACGCAGCAAAAUGCGAUAAGUAAUGUGAAUUGCAGAAUUCAGUGAAUCAUCGAAUCUUUGAACGCACAUUGCGCCCGCCAGUAUUCUGGCGGGCAUGCCUGUUCGAGCGUCAUUUCAACCCUCAAGCUCAGCUUGGUGUUGGGACUCGCGGUAACCCGCGUUCCCCAAAUCGAUUGGCGGUCACGUCGAGCUUCCAUAGCGUAGUAAUCAUACACCUCGUUACUGGUAAUCGUCGCGGCCACGCCGUAAAACCCCAACUUCUGAAUGUUGACCUCGGAUCAGGUAGGAAUACCCGCUGAACUUAAGCAUAUCAAUAAGCGGAGGAAAAGAAACCAACAGGGAUUGCCCUAGUAACGGCGAGUGAAGCGGCAACAGCUCAAAUUUGAAAUCUGGCUCUCGGGCCCGAGUUGUAAUUUGUAGAGGAUACUUUUGAUGCGGUGCCUUCCGAGUUCCCUGGAACGGGACGCCAUAGAGGGUGAGAGCCCCGUCUGGUUGGAUGCCAAAUCUCUGUAAAGUUCCUUCGACGAGUCGAGUAGUUUGGGAAUGCUGCUCUAAAUGGGAGGUAUAUGUCUUCUAAAGCUAAAUACCGGCCAGAGACCGAUAGCGCACAAGUAGAGUGAUCGAAAGAUGAAAAGCACUUUGAAAAGAGAGUUAAAAAGUACGUGAAAUUGUUGAAAGGGAAGCGUUUAUGACCAGACUUGGGCUUGGAUAAUCAUCUGGGGUUCUCCCCAGUGCACUUUUCCAGUCCAGGCCAGCAUCAGUUUUCGCCGGGGGAUAAAGGCUUCGGGAAUGUGGCUCCCUCCGGGGAGUGUUAUAGCCCGUUGCGUAAUACCCUGGCGGGGACUGAGGUUCGCGCAUCUGCAAGGAUGCGG
rnacentral:rRNA from 1 species